AUCACAAAGCCUUCUGGGUAGUGAGCCGUCAUUUCCUACAGGAUCCUGCAUAACCUGGGAUUCCAGGAUGGGUGGCAGAGCUCCCCUGCUUCUGUCCCCUCUGUUUCCCCACUGUUUCUCCUCGGCCCCCUCCUGGUGCCGCGCGCUCCUCGCUGCUCACCGCAGCUCCCCUCUGCUCACACUCGCGGGACAUCCACCUGGUGCCCGGCACUGCCCUGGAGCCCGGGAGGACGGUGCUGAGGAGGGAGCAGCCCGGUGCUGGGAGAGAAGCGCAAACGGGAGAGGAACGCAGAGGUUGUAGAAGGUGAUACAGAAGGACAGAAGUAGCCACAGAAUGUGUGGUACAGACACGCAGCUAGGAUGGGCCAUGAGGUCCACGGAGAAGGACGCGUGGUAGAUACUAAGGAAUACCACGCAGGAGCCGGAAGUGCAAUACAUCAGAUACCAGUCAGUGGUGGUCCCUGCACCAAGCCGUUGGGAGAAGCAUGAACACAGAACGUGAUGGACAACUUCACUCUGUGUCCUGGGGAACUGGGCCACUGCCGGUCCCCCACAGUUCUAUCAUAUGGUUCCCUGACCGGGAACGGCCGAUGAGAGAUUCCUGGGGCCCUCCCAGUUUGAGUCCCCUGCUCUUCAGGACCAGGACCGGACUACAUCCUGCAUUAAUUCUUCACUUCUACACUCGGGAGCUGUAAACUUGUUGCUGCUUGUUUGCAAACAACACCGACCCAAUUUAUCACAGGGAGGAGCCAGAAGUCUCUCCGUCCCAGGUCAGCUAAAGGAGGAGGACAAGGACACACCAGCACGUCUCCCUGAGCCCGCCUUUCCCUCGGUGCCACUUGGCAGCAGCAGCAUGCACUGUGCUGUUGACGACGCUGCUGAAGACUCGGGAGAGGGCUCCAGAACGGCCUCACACAGGGGCCAGCACAGCGGCAGGGGUGUGCAGAGAGGCCGAAGCAUUCUGAGGAGGGUCCUGGCAGUGGGUGUGUCACUGUGAUGAGUUUUCAACAGUGACACAUCACCGUAGGUAGGAUGACAGCACUGUCCCAUCAGACAUUGACACAUCCCAGAUCUGUCCCCAUGGCUUUAUGAAACCAUGCACAGAGCAGUGGACAGGGGGCGCCCCGAAGCGUUUGUGCAUGUGGGAAUCUGCUGUGUGACUAAGGCUUCUCUCCAGCUAGAGGGUGACAUUAGAGAGCAGGUCUGUUGAGGCUGAAGAGAUUUUGUCCUCCAAGUCCAGUCCCCGUUAGCAUCUGAUGGACAAAGCUGUGGGGGAAGCUGAGUCAUGCCUGAGAUGGCGGUCAGGUCACAGUUCUGCUCUGCAAAAUACCUAAGGUGAGGAGGAGGACUGUAGAUUAGGAGUGGCCCAAGACAGCCAAGGGACCCCUGUGUGGGGAUGGGCCUCAUGCAGCGUGGAGCUGGCCGACAGGCUGGGGGCCCCGUAGAGUCCUGCUUAUCUUCCUCGCAGGGGCGGGCACUGAACACAGAUGAUGGGAUACCACUGCGCUGUGCCCCCAGCCCCGGGUCCCUUACAAUGCUAGGACCUUGAGAAAGGGACCUCCCCUCUGUUGCUGAUUUGCUCAACUCUGAAAUUGUUCCAGGAGCGAACUUAAGGUUAGGAGGAGGCAGCUUGCAAGUGAGAGGUCUGUGGUCACACAGAAGCCACUGGUCUUCCUGAUAGCACCAGUGACGGGAUUCCUAUGGCUCAGUCUCAUGUACAGAAUCUGAGCUGUAAAUACUCACAGAGCACUUAUCCACUGCAGAGCACGCAUUUAACACACGUGUGAGAGCACAUUACCGGGAUGCACAGUUGAGAGUUAGCCCCUAAGUUAGUGGGUGUGUUCAUGUGACCCUGUACAGUUCUGCACUGUAAUAUGUCACCUCGGGCUGCCCAAGACCUCUGUCCCCCUUGAAGGAUCUCCUGGACGGCCUCAGAAUAGAGUGUGAGCCACGCAGACAGACCACUGGAGUCCAUAACUCUCUUUAUAGGGAGAGAGAGAAAAGAAGGCUGAAAAGCAUCUUUGCAUGUCUUGUCUUCCUGAGGCAGCUGCUUCCGGAAAUCACUGGUCUUCACUUGUGAAGAGGGGAACUAUUUGUGGGUGUGGGCUGCUGCUGGGGCCUGCACCCCCUGGUCUGAAGGAGGAGACCUGGCCUAGAGCACGUGGGUGUGUGAAAGGGGGCUGGGGUGUAGGCCCCUGCAUCUGAAGGAAGAGGGGCUGGAGGCUGGAGCCUAUGGGUACUUUUGGAAAGUGGUGCUGGAUUCUUGGUCUCAGAGUCAUCCAUGGGGGGGCCAGGGAUAUAGCUCAGCUGCACAGGCACCUGCAUGGCAUGGUCCUGAGUUCAAUUCCCAUUGCUCUCCCCAAAAACUGUCAUCUAUGGUUCUGUGCCCUGGAUAAUAUUAUCAAUCCACUGUUUGAAUUUGCAUAGAUUGGUGUAGGCACUGGGAAUUCCAGGUCGGGCACAGGGAGGGAGUCCCCAGGACACAAGGCCCUGCAGAAGCCCAUUGCAGACCACGGGGCCUCCAGAGUCUCCCUGUGGAGGGAAGAGAAGAACAAGUUAGGCAGAGUGGGAGGAGGGUGGAGGAGACACACACAGAAAGCCAGAAGCACAGAGACAGGCAGAGUGAGAGCAGGGCGGAAAAACACAGUGCAGGAGCCAGGGGCAGCGUGGAGAGCCCAGAGGGACAGAGGGGGACAGAGCAGCGGGUUCCAGACACAUGGGUGUGAGAGGCAGAGGCAAUGGGGAGACAAAGCUCAGACCCUGCCAAGAUGCCAAGACAGUGAAGACACAGAGAGCCAAGGGGCGACCUGGGGGGCUGCGCCUUAAGAAAACCAGGCCAUCAGUCUCUAGUGUGGUGGGCAGGCAGGGACAGGCCUGCCCCUCCAACAAAUUGGCACCUGCUGGGGAGGUGAUUAGGUGGAUCUGGAGCCCCUUCCUCCCUUCCAGUAGCAGCCAGAAAGGUCCCCAUCCAGCCUGGACGCCGAGACCCUGGUCAAGAAACCGUAGCAUACGGCAGAGUUCCUCACGCUCUGCACUGCUGAUUCCUCUCUGUGAGCUGCUGGGGAUGGGCUCAGUGCCGCUGAGCUGUCCUCCGCCCUCUAUUGACUGCUGGGCACUGAGCCUCCGUGCUGGGCAUUGCAGGGUGCUUUACACGCCAGGCCAGUAGCUCCCUUCCCCCUCAGCAGGGACAAUGACAAAGCCCAUUCAGCAUGCAGGUCCUGGGGGAAGACAGUGUGCGCUGUCUCUGUGAGGAGAGAGAGAGGCAGGGAGACUGGGGAACAACAUCAGGUAGAGGACACAGAGAACCUGAGGCUGAGGCUGAACCCUGGAGCAGGGAACAUGGGGACCAGACACAGAAAUGUCAGGGUCCUGACUCUAAGGACACUGAGUUUGAGCCGGAGGUGUCCUCAGCUGAGAGGCUCUGGGUGCGGCCGUGCGCCCAGGCCCUGCAUAAAGCAUAGGACACAUGGUGACUCACUUACACAACCGUCUCCUGUGGCCAGUCCAGUUAUUAUCCCCAUUCCACAGAGCGGUGGACAGACAGACAGAAAGACAGCCAGGCUGAGUCACAAGGGGUGAAGGCCCAGGAGUCUGCACUCUUAAUCCUCCCUGAGCCCAGGUCCAGUGGCGCAACCUGUGAUCCCAGUACUCGGAGGCUGGAGGAUCUCAAAACCCUCAUUGCCCUGAGUCAGGAAAUGGUCCAGGGCCCAGAGGGAGACACACUCCACAGAACAGCGACAAGAGAGAGGCUGGGACUCAAAGGGCAGGAAACACAUAGCUAGGCUGGGGUUGGGAGGGCGCAGGGCCGUUCACCUGGCUCCAGCUCCCAGGGUCUCAGGGCUCGGCUGUGCUGCGCCGGGCUGGACCCUGCGGGCUGCUCUGUGCAGAGCCUGAGAGUCUUAGGAGGAUCCAGAAUGGAGGCUGACCCGCCCUGGGGCUGGCUGAAGCAGAACAGCCUGAAGGCAGCGUUUCUCUGGAUGCACCCUGCACCUGUCCAGGUUCUCAUGGGGUCAGCACACAUGGAGUAGGGGUCCUCAGGGGGCACCCCUCAAACAAAGGACCACCCCUGGACAGUCUCUCUGCCUCUCUGGGCCUCUGUCUCUCAGCUCCGUCUCCUCCAACCCAGUGCCCUUGCUACCCUUGGCCUUCUUCCCUCAUCCACUUUCUGACUUGGAUUCUUUGCCUUGAAACUCUUUCCUGUGUAUUAAAUCUACAUUUAACUAAGCAAAUGUGUAUAAAAUCAAGAUAAUCUGUGUGUGUGUGUGUGUGUGUGUGUGUGUGUGUGACGAGGUAUGGUAUUCAGCAACUUCUCACUGAGCUCCAGCUUUUUUAUUUUACUAUUUUGAAUCCAAGUCUCAUUAAGUUACAAAGUUCGAGCUGGGCUCAGUCUGGAGAUCCUCCUGCCUCAGUCUCCCCAAGUGCCAGGAUUAUAGGUAGCACCACACACAGUGUACUUUUCUCUCCCGGAGAUCUGCCAGUCCCAUGGUUCUGCAAAUUCUGACAUAUGUUGCAUGGAACACACACACACACACACACACACACACACACACAUGGCCAUUGAAAUAUGGAGCUGUCCAUCACCUGCACAAACUCUGCCCACUUGGUCCUGCAGCUGCUGAGCUGUCCCCUCCCAUCACUGGUCAUUCGGAGAACCAUGGGUCUGAAGCCCUACAGCACACUCUCAGCAUCCUGCCCUUGAGACCCUCCCUGUGUGUACCCUGCCUCCUCCCCUUUCCACACUGAAGAGGCCUCCACGGUGUACACAGACCUGUUUGCUUUUCCACUGCCUGGAUUUUAGAUCACUUUGCCCCUUUGAACACUGGGCACUUCCCUCACCCUGGGCCCCUUGUUAGCUUACCGUGUGUGAUUUCCAUUAAUAUGCAAUAUUCUGAUAACACGUAGCAUUGCUUGUGUAGUUUAUCACAGAAUUGAUCUGUCUAUUGGAUCUCUUUUGUAUCAUCUGUAUCUCUCAGCUACAAAGAGGACAAGAGUCUUUGCCAGUGCCAUUCACUGGUUUAUCCCAAACCCCCAGCACCACACUGGGCUCCUAGUGGGUGCUUCAUUAAUGCUUGUUGAAUGACUGAAAGUGAAUGAACAGCCUCUGACUCUGG